rnacentral:rRNA from 1 species
UACGAAGGGGGGCUAGCGUUGCUCGGAAUCACUGGGCGUAAAGCGCACGUAGGCGGAUCUUUAAGUCAGGGGUGAAAUCCUGGAGCUCAACUCCAGAACUGCCUUUGAUACUGAGGAUCUUGAGUCCGGGAGAGGUGAGUGGAACUGCGAGUGUAGAGGUGAAAUUCGUAGAUAUUCGCAAGAACGCCAGUGGCGAAGGCGGCUCACUGGCCCGGUACUGACGCUGAGGCACGAAAGCGUGGGGAGCAAACAGG